GGAAUGGUUUGUGCAGUGUCACAAAAAAAGUGGAAUAAGAUCUAGUAUGUGUCGGGAUCAGUCAGCAGCCUGUCCUGGGUGAAGUGAAGGGACUCUUGGGGAGUAAGACUGUCCUGUCCUUCCAGCCUCUCUCCAUUGCAACAACUGAAGCCAGCUGUAGCAAAAGGGAUGGGAGAUAAGGGCUCAGGAAGGACCCCUUCACAGGUUGAGGAUAGAGUAAAACCAGGAGUCUGAAGCAAGGGAAUAGAGAACACAGAGGAUGAAGAAGGAGACAGAAAAGCAUCCGUUUCCCCCAAACACCCUGCUGCCCCUGGCAACCCUUCCUUUCCUGCAAUGAAUCACAACCACACAGCCCAAGGGACCCAGGAGUCCCCUCCUCUCCACAAAUACCACCAUUUCCAUAGCAACAGGGCCUCUUUCCUUCCCUCUCCGUGACUGAUUUUUACCACUAACCCUAUCUCCCCAGAGAGUGGUCUGGGUUCCUGGCUUUUUUUCUUUCUUUUUCUUUCUUUUUUCUUUCUUUCUCUUUCUGUAAUGAGUUUUGUUUGGUCUUAGCUUUGACUCAUCCGGAAUCUUAUUUGAAUAUCAUAUGCAUGGUCUUCCUUAGUUCCAGAAGAAUCACACAAGCUCUCUUCUCUUCCAUUUCCCUGGUAUCUCCCAGCAUACCCCUAAACCACUGCCCCUCUCUCCUCCUUUCCCGUCAGCUCCUCUCUUGAGGCUUUUUCGGAUCCAGAAGACAUAUAAAAGGGAAAAUCUGUCCUGCGAGCCCCAGUCGAACUAUCUUGCUUAUGGAGCUCUGGGUCAUUCAUCAGUCUCAGGACGGGAUUUCUUUUUCAUGUCUUAAUGUCCCAAACCUCAGUUCCUUUCACUGAGGCCAGCACCUUGGCCAGCAGCCAGAUCGGCUUAUGCCACCUAGUGGUUCAGGCUCAAACCUUCGUGCCCCUCCCUAGUUCUACUCCACCCUCACCCUUUACACGCCCGUCGGGCACUCAAAGCGAAGCCAACUGUCUCUUCUUCUUAAUCUUCAGCCUCUGUGCACGAGUUAUGUGCUGGAUGACAGGGGAAAACUCAAAGGAAGAAAACAAUGGAGACACAGCCUUUGCUCUUAGGGAUGGCAACCCUAAUCUGAGGGAGGGAAAUCCCUGCCCUGGAAGAGUUUCCAGUCUAAUAGGGAGAGCCCCCAUCACUGUCUUUAGGGUGAUAGAGAAGAGAGAACAUUAAAACAGAAUCAAGGAGCAGCUAGAUGGCUCAGUGAUAGAGAAUCAGACCUGGAGACAGGAUGGUCCUGGGUUCAAACCUAGCUGUAUGACUCUGGGCAAGUUGCUUAACCCUUUUGGCCUCAGUUUCCUCAUCUGUAAAAUGAGCUGGAGAAGGAAAUGACAAACUGCUCCAAUACAUUUGCCAAGAAAACUCCAAAUGGGGCCAACUAAGAUUCAGCCACCACUGAAAUGACUCUAACAGUAAAGUAUCUUGCAAAGGGGAAAUAUUGGAUGCAGGGAGAUCAAGUAAGAGGUAUGGAUUCGAAGACAGAAGAUAAGGGCUUAAAAAAACAGAAUCAAAACUAGACAAUUCAGUUUUAGAUGUAGCUUUAUGUUUCUUGCUUGGAGGGAUAGAGAGAAGUUUGGGAUAGCAGAGUGAUAUAGGGGUUGGGGAUAAUCUGAGAGGAAGGCUUCCUGGAGGAAGGUAAUAUGAAGUAGUGUUGAGAAGGUGGAUGGAAUGGUACUGAGGCUGACAAUAGGAUGGGCUCUUGUGGUUAAGGGAAGGCAGGAGAAUGACCUGUGAGAAUUCAACUAACAUUUAUUAAGCUCUGACCUAUUUAGAGGUCAGAGCACUAUGCUAGGUAAGAAGGAAACUGAAAGAACAGAGAGAGGCAUACCAAAGUGUGAUAGAACACUGGCCUGGGAGUCAGGGAGACUAGCUGAAUAACUACUGAAUUAUGUAACCUCUCCUAAUCUAUUUUCCCCUUUGUAAAAUUGUUUUCAAGAGGAUCUGGAUUCAAAUUUGACCUCUGACACUGCCUAAUUUUGUGAUCCUAGGCAAGUCACUUAACCCCAUUUGCCUAGCCCUUGCCUUUCUGUCUUCAAGGUGUUACAAAGAUGGAAAGUAAGGGUGUAAAAAUGGGUUUGAUUCCUAUACUACCUACUUUAUGACACUAUUCUAAGGGAAAGAAGUUUGUAAACUUUAAAACAGAACAGGGAGUUGUUGAACUUUUUUUUUAAACAAACUACAUUAGCACAGUAGAUAGAGUGCUGGACUUGGAGUCAUGAAGACAUGUUCACAUUCAUGUUCACAUUCAGCCUCAGACACUAGCUAUGUGACUAUAGGAAAGUCACUUCACCUCCCUCAGCCUCAGUUUCCUUCUUUGUAAAAUGGAGACAACACACCUACCUUCCAAGGCCAUUGUGAGGAUAAAAUGAGAUAACAUUUGUAAAACACUUUGCAAUCCUCAAAACACUAUGUAAACACUACCUAUUAUUAUUGCUAAUGUAUUUGAUAACUGUAUUUCAAUAUAAUUGGUUUUCUAUGCAAUCCAAUGUAUUUUAUUUUGUGCUUUUGAGAACAUUACUUUGAGCAAGGGACCAUAGGCUACAUCAGACUGCCAAAGAGAUCCAUGAUGCUAAAAAUGGUUUUGAAAAACCUACAUCCUGCUAUAGAAUAAAGAAUGGGAAACUGAGAAAAGGCUGGGAAAUUUGGAUUAUAUAAAACAAAAGAUCAAUAAGAUUAUUUUUUUUAAAUACUAAAAAAGUGAAUACUUAUUCUUCCUGCAUUAUAAGGAGUGAAUGGUGUGAACAGGAAAGAUUUAUCCACCUGGAAUGGAAAUCUGGAGCUGGUAGGGAAGAGAAGGGAAUUGAAAGAUAAAGAGAGGUACAACUGGAAAAUCUAAUUUGCAUUUUCCUAAGUGCUAAUGUAUGGGCCUGGGACAUGGGAGUCCACAGUUUUGGCAAAUCAAGUCAAAAAGUAUUUAAGUACUUACAAUGUUCCAGGCAAUGUGUUAAGUACUAGAAUAACAGUGCCAAGAAUAAGUAUGUUUGUCCUCUGCCCUGGUCUCCAGAGGAAGAAAUGGGGUAGAACCAAAAGAUCAAAUUCUCAGCAAGGACUUGGUCAAGUGGAAUAAAUAGACUAAGGUGGCUUGGAUGAAAGGUGGAAUGGAGAAAAAAUGGAAGAAGUACAAAAUUAGAUGACUGAAAAAGAGAAAAGCCUAGAGAGAGCCCUGUGCAGAGCUGUGAUUCUAUAAAUUUUACCUCAUAGGGCAUCAAGAUGGCACAGCAGAUAGAGUGCCAAGCCUUCAGUCAGAAAGACCUGAGUUCAAAUCCAGACUCAAACACUAGAUGUAUGAUCCUGGGGCAAGUCACUUUACCAUAUUUGACUCAGUUUCCUCAUAUGUCAAAUGAGUUGGAAAAGGAAAUGCCAAAUCUUUUUUUCCCCCUAAGUAUCUUUUCCAAGAAAACCCCACAUGGGAUCACAAAGAGUUGGAUACAAUGGACCAACAUGAUUUCUUCUUAACCUUCAUCUGUCUUAAUUCCAUCUCUACUCUAGGAUUUAGAAAAUAUGAUCUUUGUCUCCCCACCCCCCAACCCCAACCAAAAGUCACAUCAUCUCUCUUGGUUCAGCUUCUUUAUAUAUAAAACGAGAGGUAUCAUUUAGGGUCCCUUCCAUCUCUGCCAGGAGUUCCAGAAGUCUAGGCCUCCCAGACAAUAGGGAUAUUCUCCCAGAUAUUCUCAAAAGGGGGAACAUGGGGUGCUUGGAGGAAGACGUUCUGACUCAGUGGUCCCAGCUAUUGAACUACAGUGCCACCCGGUGGACAAACUCAGAGAACACUCUUUUUUCCCCUACUUGCCAACCCCAAUCCAGAUUUCAUUCCACUCUGCGUUUCUACUGGCUCCUAAACCAUCAAACUAACCUAAAAGUUAGAAGAUAGGAGCAGAGACUCUGGAAUUCAUCUAAUCUAACCCUCAUCAAUUUAAAGGAGGAAAUUGAAAAACAGAGAGGAUCUCAAACUCAUGAUGACCUAAGAAAUGAUCUAUAAUCCAGGUAGUCUGGUUCCCCAAGUCUUCCCUCCAUUUCUCCCAUUCUAGUUUUAAAUCCCACCUUCUCCAGGAAACCUAUUCAAAUUAUUCUUAAUUCUGGUGCCUUCCUUCAACAGAGAAAUUAUUUUCCAUUUCUCCUGUCCGCAGCUCCCUCGAACAUACUUUUUUGUCUGUUGACUCCUUCAUUAGAGUGUAAGCUCCUUGUGGGCAGGGCCUGUCUUCCUUUCUGUGUGCUUAGUACAGUACCUGACCCACAGCAGGCUUUAAUACAUGUUUAUGGACCAUCUUAACCUCCUAAUUAUCCCCAUCUGGUUUUGAGACCAGCCAAAGUUUUACUUCCCCUAAGAAGCCUUCUGGGAUGCCUCCAGCCCACAUCUAUCUCUGCUCUCUUUGAACCCAUUUAUUUGGUCCUUAUCACUUGCUGUGUUGUGUGUUAUCUGUCCAUGUGUGUCUUGUCUACCUAAAUCAAAUUAAGGGCAAGAAUCCUUUUUAAUACCUCUUUAAAAAAGAAACCCUUACAUUCCAUCUAAGAAUCAAUACUAUAUAUUGGUUCCAAGGCAGAAGAGUAGUAUGGAUUAAGCAAUAGAGUUUAAGUGACUUGCCCAGGGUUGCACAGCUAGGAAGUGUCUGAGGCCACAUUUGAACCCAGGACCUCCUAUCUCUAGGCCUGGCUCUCAAUCCACUGAGCCACCCAGCUGCCCCCCCCUUUUUAAACCUCUUGAUAGCUCCCCAUGGUGUCAGACACAGAGUAAAUUAAUAAACAAUCAAUUAAAAUCAGAAAGGAGAGGUAUUAAAAAAUAUAUGAUCUAGUUUUGCUGUAGCAAAUAAAUGACCACGUGCAAUGACUUGAUUUAAUAAAACUCAAAAACUGAAUAAUCAUCAUCAUUCAAUCAAUCAUCCAUUUAUUAAGUACUGUGCCAGGCACUGUGUUAGAUGCUAGAGUACAAAGAAUAAACAAAUCCCGACUCACCAACAAGCUUAAAUUACUUGCUGACUAACUUAUUGACUCUUACCUGGGAGGUUCUAAUUCCAGCCCUAUCACCCCUCCCCCAGGGACAGUCCCAUCCCCAGCUGGCACCAGGUAUCCAGGUGCCUAGAUCCCUGCCCUUCUCCCUCCCUCCCAGGCCGAAACCAGAGCCGGCGCCACUGGGUGAGGAAUCCAGGGACCAACUGUCACAGCUCCAGUGUCUACUAACACUGGGAAACCUGGGCCUGGCCUCCUCCCCCACAAGGGGGUCUCGCUAACCAGCUGUCCUUGAGGGGAUCCAGCCAUCCCGCCCCUGACAUUUCUUUGAGCUGUACUCCUCUGGAAAAUUGGAGGGGAAUGGGUGUUAGACAAAGAAAGGGGCUAAGGCGCUGGGAGAGAAUGAAUAUGUGUCACGAAUGGUUUAAGCCCAAACUCCUUAGCCUGGCAUUCAAAGCCCUCCACAAUCUGGCCCUAACCUAAUCUCCCAGGUUUAUCCCUGGCUCCUCUCAAGCCCACUCCUGCCUCUUCCACUUGGACGCUUUUCCUUGUUCAUCCCAUUCUUCCCACCUAGAAUAUUUUCUUACCCAUCUUCCAAGAAGAUCCACCAUCAUACAAUGCUGACCACAUCAAUUCCUCCAUUUCCUUAUAUGUCAAACAAGAUGGUUGAACUGACUCUAUGACUUCUAAGGUCCCCAGGGAGUUCUCUCUCUCUCUCUCUCUCUCUCUCUCUCUCUCUCUCUGUUACAAU